rnacentral:misc_RNA from 1 species
AAGUCGUAACAAGGUUUCCGUAGGUGAACCUGCGGAAGGAUCAUUAUUGAAUAAACUUGGUGUGGUUGUUGCUGGUCCUUUCGGGGGCAUGUGCACACCCAUCAUCUUUAACUUUCCACCUGUGCACAUUUUGUAGGUCAAAAAUUUUUCCCGAGACACGCGUUUCGUGGAAUAGGUUUUUGCCUAUGUUUUCAUAUACGCCAUAAGAAUGUAACAGAAUGUAUCAAUGGGCUUCAUGCCUAUAAACUAUAUACAACUUUCAGCAACGGAUCUCUUGGCUCUC